rnacentral:rRNA from 1 species
AGGAUAAACGCUGGCGGCGUGCCUAACACAUGCAAGUCGAACGUCCUUGCGGUCUUCUUCUUCGGAGGAGGACCGCGAGGGAGUGGCGGACGGGUGAGUAACACAUGGGUACCUGCCUUUCAGUGAGGAAUACCGGCGAGAAAUCGCCGACAAGACCGCAUAGGCUUCCUUCGGUAGCCCGAGGGAAGCAAAGUUACUUCGCGAGAGGUGACGCUGGAAGAGGGGCCUGUGGCCGAUUAGCUAGUUGGGGGGUAAUGGCCUCCCAAGGCGACGAUCGGUAGCUGGUCUGAGAGGACGAUCAGCCACACUGGGAUUGAGAACGGCCCAGACUCCUACGGGGGGCAGCAGUGAGGAAUUUUCCGCAAUGGACGAAAGUCUGACGGAGCAACGCCGCGUGCAGGAGGAAGGUUUUCGGAUCGUAAACUGCUUUUCUCGGGGACGAGCAAGGACGGUACCCGAGGAAGAAGCCCGGCUAACUACGUGCCAGCAGCCGC